AAGCGGGAAACGCGCCCCAAGAUGAGACUUCCCGGAGACUCGAUCUCCCUGAAGGGUCGGGAUAGACCAUCCCGUUGAUAGGCCGGAUGUGCACACGCAGUAAUGCGCUCAGCUAACCGGUACUAAUCGCCCGUGCGGCUUGACCCCAUAGCA
rnacentral:rRNA from 1 species